rnacentral:sRNA from 1 species
AGAUAAGAAUUAAGGGUGACAUUUGUCAUCCCAUUGAUUGCCAGGGUUUGGUUGGAUAUUUUGGCUGCCUGAAUUGUUGUUUUCGUCUUUCCUCAUGUGCUUCCCACCCACAGUUGCGUAUCUGAAAGGAAUGACCCUUCUAGGUAGAGGAGGAGAAGGAUCAUUUAAAUUUCUUAACAAUGAUGCUAGGGUGUCAGAAGGCUCUAAAAUUCAUGCUGGCCAGGAUGGCUGCUUUACCACUAU